UACGUAGGGUGCAAGCGUUGUCCGGAAUUAUUGGGCGUAAAGAGCUCGUAGGCGGUCUGUCGCGUCGGCUGUGAAAUCCCGAGGCUCAACCUCGGGUCUGCAGUCGAUACGGGCAGACUAGAGGUAUGCAGGGGAGAACGGAAUUCCUGGUGUAGCGGUGAAAUGCGCAGAUAUCAGGAGGAACACCGGUGGCGAAGGCGGUUCUCUGGGCAUUACCUGACGCUGAGGAGCGAAAGUGUGGGGAGGCGAACAGG
rnacentral:rRNA from 1 species